GUGGCAAGCAGUGGUAUUUUAUAUUUAAGAAAUAGUUUAUUUUGUUUUUUACUAAUUACCAUUCUAUUAUUACUAUAGAUUUCUUACAAAAAUUUAAGGCGAUUUUGGAGUUGCAAAACGAAUAAAUGGACGCGAUAUUAAUCAAUCAGAAAAACAUGAUAGAUAUUUAUUAUGCUUGUAAUUUAUUUGUUAUAUUACAAUUCGCUUACUAUCUUCUUAUAUAUAACAGCAAAUAACAAUCAGCUCAUCCAACAGUUACUUGAUUAAAGUUUCAGGAACAUGACCAAAAUUGUACUCAUAAAGCUGAUCUAAUGGCUCAAAAUAAGACGCUGAGAGAAGUGAAAGUGUCCUCUCAAAACACAGAAAAGGUUGUGUGCCGCAUGACAGGGGAGACAUGCGAUAAGAUUUUAAAUAAUAAAGAGAGUAUCAAAUGAUGUUGGUAGUGUGAUCAAAAAGAUUUUUUCUGACGAAACAUUAUACCAUUUUAAUUGGGACAUCAAUCUACGAGACGUCUUCAAACAAAAACGAAAUUUAGAAUUUGAAAGAGGAGUGAGAAAAGCAGUAGGAAUGAGUCAUCACCGACUCAAGCAAUAGAAAUACCACGAGAAAAAGUUGAAACAGAAUGCAAAAGUUAAAAUCUAGUUUAUAAUACAAUUUUAUAAAACCAAACCUUUAA